AGUGAACGCUGGCGGUAGGCCUAACACAUGCAAGUCGAACGGCAGCACAGUAAGAGCUUGCUCUUACGGGUGGCGAGUGGCGGACGGGUGAGGAAUACAUCGGAAUCUACUUUUUCGUGGGGGAUAACGUAGGGAAACUUACGCUAAUACCGCAUACGACCUACGGGUGAAAGCAGGGGAUCUUCGGACCUUGCGCGAUUGAAUGAGCCGAUGUCGGAUUAGCUAGUUGGCGGGGUAAAGGCCCACUAAGGCGACGAUCCGUAGCUGGUCUGAGAGGAUGAUCAGCCACACUGGAACUGAGACACGGUCCAGACUCCUACGGGAGGCAGCAGUGGGGAAUAUUGGACAAUGGGCGCAAGCCUGAUCCAGCCAUACCGCGUGGGUGAAGAAGGCCUUCGGGUUGUAAAGCCCUUUUGUUGGGAAAGAAAAGCAGCAGGUUAAUACCCCACUGUUCUGACGGUACCCAAAGAAUAAGCACCGGCUAACUUCGUG
rnacentral:rRNA from 1 species